GGUAGAGCGACCGAAUCUGGUGGUCGGCCCGGUCUUCAAAACCGGUGACGGACUGCGAGAGCAGCCCGUGGCAGGUUCGAUUCCUGUGCUCUACCG
rnacentral:tRNA from 1 species